rnacentral:rRNA from 1 species
UACGUAGGGCGCAAGCGUUAUCCGGAAUUAUUGGGCGUAAAGAGCUCGUAGGCGGUUUGUCGCGUCUGCCGUGAAAGUCCCGGGGCUCAACUCCGGAUCUGCGGUGGGUACGGGCAGACUAGAGUGAUGUAGGGGAGACUGGAAUUCCUGGUGUAGCGGUGAAAUGCGCAGAUAUCAGGAGGAACACCGAUGGCGAAGGCAGGUCUCUGGCAUUAACUGACGCUGAGGAGCGAAAGCAUGGGGAGCGAACAGG